rnacentral:lncRNA from 1 species
UCUGUUUGCUUGUUUUGUUUUUUGUUUGUUCUUUUUGGGUUAAAUUAGAACUGGUGAGCCAGCUCCAACCUGGCAUUUCCAACUCGAAGUUCAUGGUUCUGUCUCCUCUCAGCUCCGUGCGCCAUCUUUGCCUGUUUCUUGGGUACUGAACCACGCUCAGCAGCAGGGCUGCCAGCCCUGAUUUCCUGGGUCAGUCAGGCAACAUAUCUGAAUUCUAAGAAAGCCACCUGGAGCAUAAUGACUUUCCUCUCAAGGUGAGACUGUGGCCAGCUAGUGAGAAAAUGUGAAUGAGGGCGAGGGGCAACUCUGGCCACCUUUUAGUCCCGUGGGCCAUGUAUAUUAGUCACAUAGGCUAGGUUUUGCUGCAAUUGCAGGUAACUCCACAACAGAACUUAUUUUUCAUCUGGGCUACGUGUCCACUGCAAUCCAGCCACAGCUCUGUUCCAUGCUUUCUUCUCUUGGGGACCAAGCCUGUUGGAUAAGGCACUAUCUGGAACAUGUUCUGGUCAUUGUGACAGCAAGAGAAAAGCCAGAGAACCACGUGCUAGCUCUUAAAACUUAUACUCCAAAGUGACACAUGUGACUUCUGCUCACAUUUCAUGGGCCAAAGCAAGUCAUUUGGCCAGAGCUGCAUAUAUCAGAAAGGAGGUGUCUAUUUCUCCUGCAGGGAGGGGCACUGAAUAUUUGGGACGGUCUUUUUCCAGGAAGAUACCAGCUCUGCCUAAAAUAUAGCAGUUGCAUGCGAUUUAGAAAUCUGACAAACAGGAUUGUCAGAAAAGAUCUGAAGGAAGCUGCCAUGUGGGGAAUUGUAAUUUUUUCCCCUAAAGAUUAUUUCAUGCUUGUUGGAUCCAUCAUAUUCUGAAAUCCUUUUGCUGUCCAACAAAUAUUGAUAAGUGGAGGCUAUUCAGUCACAUAGUUCUUAGGCAUAUCACGCCAUAGCUCCCUGACAUAUGCCUACUGGCUGCCUUAAUUUUCUCCCAAUUUGUAGCUCCAUGUUUCCCCAUCUUCCUCCCCACACCCCAUCUUUUUCUUUUUUUCUUUUUUUUUUUUUUUUUGCCCUUCUUCAUUUCUUCUCUGGUCUCCAAAACCCAGAUGACUGUGACUUUUCUGUGAUCACUUAAGAUUUUCAAGCUCCUCCCUCAAGAGGCUGGUAAUUUCCACUUGGAGCAUUUUCCUACUAUUUUGUCCAGCUAAGCAGUAGGUUCUUAGGAAAACUGUGUGUCUUGGAGAAUGAAUUUCCAUCAGAGCAGGAAUGAGACCAGCCUGGGAGGACGUCACAGAAGACUGGAAAGAUGAGAACUGAGGCAACAGGGAGCCGCUUGUCUGAACUCUCAUCUGGACUGGUGGAAGUCCAGGGUGCUGGCGGUGAGAGAACAAAGUAGACUCGGACUGCCCUGGAAAAUGCAGAACCCUGGGCACGUAGGACCAAAAGGGGAAUCAAGACUGAGACUGUCACUGAAGCAUAAAUUCAAAGAGAUGCAGAUGAGAGGAGGGGCCUGGUGGAAGAUGAAAGUCUGGAAAACUGUGAUGCCAGACAA